GGCCCAAUGGUCUAGAAGUAUGAUACCUGCUUUGGGCUAUUCAUUGAUUGCAGGUGGUCCCGGGUUCAAUUCCCGGUUGGGCCC